GAGUUUGAUCCUGGCUCAGGAUGAACGCUAGCGGCAGGCUUAACACAUGCAAGUCGAGGGGCGGCGAGAUCAGUGCUUGCACUGAUUGUCGGCGACCGGCGCACGGGUGCGUAACGCGUAUGCAACCUACCCAUUACAGGGGGAUAACACUGAGAAAUCGGUACUAAUACCCCAUAACAUCCAGGGAGGCAUCUUCUUGGGUUGAAAACUCCGGUGGUAAUGGAUGGGCAUGCGUUGUAUUAGUUAGUUGGUGGGGUAACGGCUCACCAAGACAACGAUCAGUAGCCGACCUGAGAGGGUGAUCGGCCACAUUGGAACUGAGACACGGUCCAAACUCCUACGGGAGGCAGCAGUGGGGAAUAUUGGGCAAUGGAGGCAACUCUGACCCAGCAACGCCGCGUGAAUGAUGAAGGUCUUCGGAUUGUAAAGUUCUUUUCUAAGGGAAGAAGAAAGUGACGGUACCUUAGGAAUAAGCCUCGGCUAACUACGUGCCAGCAGCCGCGGUAAUACGUAGGAGGCAAGCGUUAUCCGGAAUGACUGGGCGUAAAGGGUGCGUAGGUGGUUUGACAAGUUAGUAGCGCAACUCCGGAGCUUAACUUCGGAACUACUACUAAAACUGUUGGACUUGAGUGCAGGAGGGGCAAUCGGAAUUCCUAGUGUAGCGGUGGAAUGCGUAGAUAUUAGGAGGAACACCAGUGGCGAAGGCGGAUUGCUAGACUGUAACUGACACUGAG
rnacentral:rRNA from 1 species